rnacentral:rRNA from 1 species
GNAUUUAUUGGGCGUAAAGGGAGCGCNGGCGGUCAGGAAAGUCUGGAGUAAAAGGCUAUGGCUCAACCAUAGUGUGCUCUGGAAACUGUCUGACUUGAGUGCAGAAGGGGAGAGUGGAAUUCCAUGUGUAGCGGUGAAAUGCGUAGAUAUAUGGAGGAACACCAGUGGCGAAAGCGGCUCUCUGGUCUGUCACUGACGCUGAGGCUCAAAAGCGUGGGUAGCGAACAGGAUUAGAUACCCUGGUAGUCCACGCCGUAAACGAUGAGUGCUAGGUGUUAGGCCCUUUCCGGGGCUUAGUGCCGGAGCUAACGCAAUAAGCACUCCGCCUGGGGAGUACGACCGCAAGGUUGAAACUCAAAGGAAUUGACGGGGGCCCGCACAAGCGGUGGAGCAUGUGGUUUAAUUCGAAGCAACGCGAAGAACCUUACCAGGUCUUGACAUCCCGAUGCUAUUCUUAGAGAUAGGAAGUUACUUCGGUACAUCGGAGACAGGUGGUGCAUGGUUGUCGUCAGCUCGUGUCGUGAGAUGUUGGGUUAAGUCCCGCAACGAGCGCAACCCUUAUUGUUAGUUGCCAUCAUUAAGUUGGGCACUCUAGCGAGACUGCCGGUAAUAAACCGGAGGAAGGUGGGGAUGACGUCAAAUCAUCAUGCCCCUUAUGACCUGGGCUACACACGUGCUACAAUGGUCGGUACAACGAGUUGCGAGCCGGUGACGGCAAGCUAAUCUCUGAAAGCCGAUCUCAGUUCGGAUUGGAGGCUGCAACUCGCCUCCAUGAAGUCGGAAUCGCUAGUAAUCGCGGAUCAGCACGCCGCGGUGAAUACGUUCCCGGGCCUUGUACACACCGCCCGUCACACCACGAGAGUUUGUAACACCCGAAGUCGGUGAGGUANCCUUUUAGGG